rnacentral:rRNA from 1 species
UACGUAGGGUGCGAGCGUUAAUCGGAAUUACUGGGCGUAAAGCGUGCGCAGGCGGCCAUCCAAGUCAGUGGUGAAAGCCCGGAGCUCAACUCCGGAAUUGCCAUUGAAACUGUUUGGCUCGAGUACGAGAGAGGUGAGUGGAAUUCCCAGUGUAGAGGUGAAAUUCGUAGAUAUUGGGAAGAACACCGGUGGCGAAGGCGGCGUCACUGGCUCGCUAACGUGACGCUCAAU